rnacentral:rRNA from 1 species
AUUGAACGCUGGCGGCAGGCCUAACACAUGCAAGUCGAGCGGAGCGGCGGACGGGUGAGUAAUGCCUAGGAAUCUGCCUGGUAGUGGGGGAUAACGUCCGGAAGCGGGCGCUAAUACCGCAUACUAUCAGAUGAGUCUAGGCCGGAUUAGCUAGUUGGUGGGGUAAAGUCUUACCCAGGCGACGAUCCGUAACUGGUCUGAGAGGAUGAUCAGUCACACUGGGACUGAGACACGGCCCAGACUCCUACGGGAGGCAGCAGUGGGGAAUAUUGGACAAUGGGCGAAAGCCGGAUCCAGCAACGCCGCGUGAGUGAAGAAGGUUUUCGGGUCGUAAAGCUCUGUUGUUAGAGAAGCGGUAUCUAAAGAGAAAGCCACGGCUAACUACGUGCCAGCAGCCGCGGUAAUAC